CAGCCGCCGCGGGAAUACGUAGGUGGCAAGCGUUGUCCGGAAUUAUUAGGCGUAAAGGGCUCGCAGGCGGUUUCUUAAGUCUGAUGUGAAAGCCCCCGGCUCAACCGGGGAGGGUCAUUGGAAACUGGGAAACUUGAGUGCAGAAGAGGAGAGUGGAAUUCCACGUGUAGCGGUGAAAUGCGUAGAGAUGUGGAGGAACACCAGUGGCGAAGGCGACUCUCUGGUCUGUAACUUACGCUGAGGAGCGAAAGCGUGGGGAGCGAACAGGAUUAGAUACCCGGGUAGUCCCUGUCUCUUAUAC
rnacentral:rRNA from 1 species